CCAACCUGGGUCAUUUUAUGAUUCUACAGUUCUAUGAUAUUAGAGGUCACAAUCAAUUGGAAAACAGAGUUCAGGUGUUCUAACUCUUCUAUUCCUUUUGCUAAACCCUACAAUGCAUCUGGACCAUCCCCAUUUCACAUCCUACUCUUGCAUUAAGUAUUGCAGAAAGAAAAGGUCAGAUUUUCUGUAAGAAGGUGACCAGCAGCAGGAGCAGCUGCCCUGCAUGGAGCCUUGGCUCCAGAGGAAAGAAUCCAGUUGGGAAUGAGCUGAUGUCUGCAGUGAACUGAGUGCUGUAUAAAAGCUAUAUGAAGAUCUGCCUGCUCUGAAGAACUUGCACUCCAAGGACUUGAGAGGAUAUCAUCAAGGUUGAGAGCUUCGCAGGAAUCAAAAAGAUGCAAGAUCGUAUACAAGUAUCAAGAAUGGGCAGAAUUAUAGUAGCAAACCCUAAAGAAAAAGAAAAGAAAGAAAAAAAAAAAGAGAAAAGAAAGAAAAGGAAGACCUGCAAAGCCUCCUACCUCCAGGCGUAAAUGAAUUUUCCACCCAUGGAAACUGAGAGAAAACUUCUCAAAGGUUAAUUUUCAAAUUGCCACUAGCUGUGAAACUUCUUGUCUCCCCUUUUGAAGCAGCUGGUGCUGUCUGCUACCAGCUGCAGAAGACUGGCCUUCAUCAACCUUGGGUUUGACCUGCUUUGGCAAUUCUCCUUGUUGUAUAUAUUGCAAGUGGAAAAAAAAUCUGCUGUCACACAAGAAACCACAGACAAAUAUGUUUUAAAAGACAAGGUUAUCCUUUUCUCCUUCCUCAGUGAAGGCUUGGAAAUAGAGCUGCUUAUAUCUGGGAUUUUCAAACAUCCCAAAUGUUUAGGAAGUAAUGUAUGACACCAAGAAGUCUGAUAAAAACAAGUUCUAUUCAUCUUGUACAUAACAGCACAACAAGGGGAUAUUUAAUAAAAAAAUAUGAGUGCAAUGAACAGAAUUUGAAAUUGCCUUAAAAUCUCAUCUCCACUUCGAUGAUUAAUCAAUUUCAGCAGCCGCUUAUUGCUUAAUGCACAGCACAUCAACAGAGAUUAUUGCUGAAACAACAAUUCCUCUUAGUCAAUCCUAGCAGGGGCUGAAAUU